AUUAAAAGACACACGUGAUGUUUUACUUCAGCUUGUAUAAAUACUGUUUCACUUUUAUUUCUUAAUGAGUAGAUUUGGAAAAUGAAGACAGUGUUGGCAUUUUUGUUUUUGACAUUCAUCACAUGAACGCAUCACAUACGCAGAAAGUUAUGAGGAUGUGAAAGAAGAAAUUAAAAAUGAAGUUGAAAAAGAAAUAUUUGAAGAUCUUGAAGAGGAAAGUGACGCAUUAGAUAGUAGCGUUAGAGAGUUGAAUGAUGCAAAGCCAUGGAGACUUCGUAGAGCUAUUCAAAGAGUACGAUGGAGAAAAGUUGCUCCUUACAUACCAUUUGUUGUUAAGACGGUUGGUAAAAAGUAACGAAAACAACUAAAAUAAAUCUUUUUGUAAUAUGAGCUUCAAAAUAAUUCGUUUAGAA
rnacentral:lncRNA from 1 species